rnacentral:rRNA from 1 species
UACAGAGGUGGCAAGCGUUGUUCGGAAUUACUGGGCGUAAAGGGCGCGUAGGCGGCCAUCUAAGUCAGACGUGAAAUCCCCCGGCUUAACCUGGGAACUGCGUCUGAUACUGGACGGCUUGAGUAUGGGAGAGGGAUGUAGAAUUCCAGGUGUAGCGGUGAAAUGCGUAGAUAUCUGGAGGAACACCGAUGGCGAAGGCAGCCCCCUGGGCCGACAUUGACGCUCAGGCACGAAAGCGUGGGGAGCAAACAGG